ACGGGUGAGUAAUGUCUGGGGAUCUGCCCGAUAGAGGGGGAUAACCACUGGAAACGGUGGCUAAUACCGCAUAACGUCGCAAGACCAAAGAGGGGGACCUUCGGGCCUCUCACUAUCGGAUGAACCCAGAUGGGAUUAGCUAGUAGGCGGGGUAACGGCCCACCUAGGCGACGAUCCCUAGCUGGUCUGAGAGGAUGACCAGCCACACUGGAACUGAGACACGGUCCAGACUCCUACGGGAGGCAGCAGUGGGGAAUAUUGCACAAUGGGCGCAAGCCUGAUGCAGCCAUGCCGCGUGUAUGAAGAAGGCCUUCGGGUUGUAAAGUACUUUCAGCGGGGAGGAAGGCGAUGUGGUUAAUAACCGCAUUGAUUGACGUUACCCGCAGAAGAAGCACCGGCUAACUCCGUGCCAGCAGCCGCGGUAAUACGGAGGGUGCAAGCGUUAAUCGGAAUUACUGGGCGUAAAGCGCACGCAGGCGGUCUGUUAAGUCAGAUGUGAAAUCCCCGGGCUUAACCUGGGAACUGCAUUUGAAACUGGCAGGCUUGAGUCUCGUAGAGGGGGGUAGAAUUCCAGGUGUAGC
rnacentral:rRNA from 1 species